rnacentral:lncRNA from 1 species
GUGUCACAUAUUUGUUUUUCGUUCAUUUUUUUUUAUACAAAUAAGGCCGUUAGUUUUCUCGUUUGAAUUGUUUUACAUUGUCAUAUCGGGGCCUUUUAUAGAUGACUAUGCGGUAUGGGCUUUGCUCAUUGUUGAAGGCCGUACGGUGACCUAUAGUUGUUAAUCUCUGUGUCAUUUUGGUCUUUUGUUGAAAGUUGUCUCAUUGGCAAUCAUACCACAUCUUCUUUUUUAUAUAUGUAUAUUU